rnacentral:rRNA from 1 species
GUAUUCUAUAUAUUGAAUAUGAAGUAUUUAUCACGAAGCUAGGUGAGCUAAAUCUUAUUCAUUUUAGAGAUAUAUAUUUAGUGUAACAUUUACUAAAAUACUAUGGGAAUUUAGGGGUGAAAGGCCUAUCAAAUCUAACGAUAUCUUGAUUUCUAAUAAAUAUAUUUAGUAUAGCAGACAAUCUAAAAAUGGUAAGGUUUUUGGAGUACAUAAAUAAAAUUACAGUAGUUUUUAUUGAAUGGGUAAUACCAACAAAUAAAAUAUAUUAUAAUAUAAAUUAUAAUGCUAUUAUGUUUAAUACUAGAAUAUUUAGAUGUAACUGUAAACUAAAAUAAAAAUGAUUACAUUAGUAUAUAAUUAAAUUUAUGUGAGGAACUCGGCAAAUUUUUUUCUCGACUGUUUAUCAAAAACAUAGUCUUAAGCAUUUUAUUUAAGGUAAAACCUGCUCAAUGAUUAGUUAAAUAGCCGCAGUACCUUGACUGUGCAAAGGUAGCAUAAUCAGUUGGCUUAUAAUUGAAGUCUGGCAUGAAUGGGAAUUCGGGAAUAAGCUGUCUUAUUAAAAUUUGUAAAAAUUACUUAAGGAGUGAAAAUUCUUCUAAAUUAGAAAAAAGACGAGAAGACCCUAGAAAUUUUUUAGAAGGUGUAUAUCAUAUCUAUUUUGUUGGGGCGACAAGGUAACACAUAAAACCUACCAAGCUUUUAUAUGAAACUUUUUAGUUGUAUAAAUAAAUUACUCUAGGGAUAACAGCAUUAUUUAUUUUUAAGAUUGUGACCUCGAUGUUGGACUAGGGAAUACUCUACUUAAAAGGUAGAGAAGUUGGCUCUGUUCGAGCUAUAUACCCCUACAUGAUCUGAGUUCAGACCGG